rnacentral:rRNA from 1 species
AUGGACAUCCUACAGCACUUCGGGCAGGCAUCAGGUCUUCAAAUCAACCCAUCAAAGUCAUCGGUGACGGCCAUUAGAGGGGACAACCUCGACCUUAGGGAAAUCCUGCAAAAUUUUGGCGGUCAGACUGUAGAUUUUCUGCUAAAGUACCUAGGGCUGCCAAUCACUCUAGCUAGGCUCCGCAUAGUUCACCUUCAGUUCAUCCUAGAUAGGAUCAAGGCACGACUCGUGGGCUGGAAGGGGCGACUCAUGUCCUUGGCAGGUUGGUGAGUGCUUGUGCGCUGCGUACUGACGGCUCUACCAACAUUCGCUAUCUCAGUCCUCAGGGCGCCCCAGAAGUUUUUCAAAGAGAUAGACAUGGCGAGACGCAAAUUCCUCUGGGUAGGAGAUCAAGACAUCAAGGGCGGACACUGCAAGGUGAACUGGUUGAGGGUCUGCACUCCAACCAAACAGGGAGGCCUCGACAUUCUAAACCUGUCCAAAUUCAGCACUGCCCUACGUCUACGUUGGCUCUGGUCCUCCUGGGAAAGGCCAGAUCGGCCGUGGGUGGGCUGA